rnacentral:rRNA from 1 species
UACGAAGGGGGCUAGCGUUGUUCGGAUUUACUGGGCGUAAAGCGCACGUAGGCGGACUUUUAAGUCAGGGGUGAAAUCCCAGAGCUCAACUCUGGAACUGCCUUUGAUACUGGAAGUCUUGAGUAUGGAAGAGGUUGGCGGAACUGCGAGUGUAGAGGUGAAAUUCGUAGAUAUUCGCAAGAACACCGGUGGCGAAAGCGGCGCGCUGGAUCCCUACUGACGCUGAGGCACGAAAGCCAGGGGAGCAAACGGG